AAAGCAGACAUUUUCUUAAAUAAAAAAAUUUGUCGCUAAAAAAAAAAUAAUAAGAUGGUAAGAAAGUUAUGAAUUUUUUUUUGGAUAAAUUGAAUACAUUUAAUAAAGGUAAACUUGGAAAACAAAAAGUUAGCUUGUAUAAUAUAUUAAUGACACUGUUUUAAGUGUAAGGAGAAUGACACGUGUCAAGCUAAAAAGAAGAAAGUCUAAAAGAGAAGGUUAGAGAGAAGAUUGCUAGCAUUCCUCUUCUAAUAUAGGCACCUAAAGAUAUUUUAUGAUUGGACAUAUUUUUUCUCACCACUUUAACCCAAAGUGUACCCUCGCCAUCAUUCUCAACACUUGACACGUAUCCAUAUGCCUAAUCAUAGAACUUUUUGCUUUGUAUUUAUGGAACCAUAGUUAUGCUCAUGGACAUGUGUCAAGUAUUGAGAAAGGUGAGGAGAAUACACUUUAAGUUAAAGUGGUGAGCAAAAAUGCUCUCUUUUAUGAUUAGGUUGAAAAGGGAAAAACGAAAAAUACUCUUGAGAAACUAUAAAAAUUGAAAGACGUGGAUUUAUAGCAUUAAGGCUUUUGAAAAUAAUUAACCAAUAAUGAGAACACCAUUUUCUUUUUCGAUUGAAAGAAACUUCUCAUUGAAACCCAAACAAAAGUUUGUUAAAUAAUCUUUUACUGAAAAAAAAAAAAAUGAGUAGAGAGAGAGAGACAAAAAAAAGGUUUUUGUAGGUACAUAUAUAGUGAUGGAUCAAGGGAGUAUUUUUGCUCAUCACUUUAACCUAAGGUGUACCUUCAUCACCCCCACCACCCCAAUAAAAAAGAAAAAGAAACAUAGAAGUCCCUUCAAUUGGGUGUCCAAUAGUAGUAAAGUUCAUGAGUUUAUACAUGUCCACCAUAAGUUUUUCAUUUUUUUUAUUUUUAAUUUUUUUUUUGUUGGAUCAGUUUUGUGUUUUUUUUUUCUGAGUAUAUAUGUUCUGUUUGUGCGGCUGUGUGCCAUGGGUAUUCACGAUCUAGGGUUGAUUUCUUUUUUGGAACAUGUUCAGAUUUUCUUGUGGUGAAUCUUUCAAGUUUCAUAGCUUCAUACAAUCAAUGUUUUCUUUUGUUUCAACUGAACUUUUUUUCCCCUUCUGUUUUGCUAUUCUGUUUUCCAAAAUUUCCAAAAUUAUUUUAUCCAGUCCAGUCCAAAGUAGGUAUAACAUCAAACAACAGACACAAAGUCUGAUCCAGUCUUAACCAGUCCAAUACAAAAUACAAAAUUAAAUCCAAUCAUGUCCUAUCCGUGCCACCAAACGAGACCUAAAGUAUUUUAUUGCAUCCAUUAUCAUCCCUCCCCUUUCUCACAUAUCCUCACCCUAAAAAACUCAAACAAAUAAAAACACUAUGAAUGGUCAUACGACUGUAUACUUUUCCCUUUUUUUUAAUAAAAAAUCUCUCAUCCGAAUAUCACAUAAAUAUUAUUUUUCUC
rnacentral:lncRNA from 1 species